ACACAUUGGUUUCCUUACCUAUGGAGUGAGGGCUAUUAUGGUGGAAAAGGCCAAGUAGAAGCCACUAGAACUAUCUGUACUUAGGAAAAUAGUAAACCAAAAGCAAUGCUCAAUUCCUAUAGGGACUGAAGAGAUUAGUGCCACCAUAAGUACUUGAAGGAAGGCGGGGUGGUGAUUCCUACCAUAUGUCCAUUCAACUCGCCUAUUUAGCCUGGGCAGAAGACAGAUGGAUUAUCACAAACUUAACUAGGUGGUGACUCCAAUUGCAGCUACAGUACCAGAUGUAUUGCUUGAGCAAAUUAACACAACUCCUGGUUCCUGGUAUGCAGCUACCUGGUAUGAUCUGGCAAAUGCCUUUCUCUCCAUCCCUGUCUAUAAGGCCGACCAGAAGCAGUUUGCUUUUAGCUAGCAAGGCUAGAAAUGCACCUUCAUGUCCUACCUCAGGGCAUAUCAACUCACCAGCCCUGUCCUAAUUUUGUUCACAGGAAUCUUGAUUGCCUUUUCUUUCCACAUCACAUUGGUCCAUUACAUUGACGACAUUAUGCUCACUGGACCUAAUGAGUGAGACAUAGCAACUACUCCAGACCUAUUGCUUUUCUGCAUGGAAGAAUUAAAUUGAGAAAAACAUAGUUAUUUAAAAAAUCACAUCGUAACUGAGUUAACAAGGCACUCAGGUUCUAAUCAUAGAUUACCUUCCUUCUUCAUCUUCCAGCUGUUUUCUAAAGUCUUCCUCCUGUUGCUUGAGUUGGUUCUGCAAAUCAGUUAUUUUUUGAAGAAAAGAAACUGUGAUUUCUUUAAUU
ensembl:lncRNA HMMR-AS1 HMMR antisense RNA 1